rnacentral:rRNA from 1 species
GACGAACGCUGGCGGCGUGCUUAACACAUGCAAGUCGAACGGAAAGGCCUCUUUCGGGGGGUACUCGAGUGGCGAACGGGUGAGUAACACGUGAGUAACCUGCCCUUGACUUUGGGAUAACUUCAGGAAACUGGGGCUAAUACCGGAUAGGAGCUCCUGCUGCAUGGGGGGGGUUGGAAAGUUUCGGCGGUUGGGGAUGGACUCGCGGCUUAUCAGCUUGUUGGUGGGGUAGUGGCUUACCAAGGCUUUGACGGGUAGCCGGCCUGAGAGGGUGACCGGCCACAUUGGGACUGAGAUACGGCCCAGACUCCUACGGGAGGCAGCAGUGGGGAAUAUUGCACAAUGGGUGGAAGCCUGAUGCAGCAACGCCGUGUGCGGGAUGACGGCCUUCGGGUUGUAAACCGCUUUCGCUCAUGACGAAGCUUUGUGUGACGGUAGUAGGUAAAGAAGCACCGGCUAACUACGUG